UACGUAGGGUGCGAGCGUUGUCCGGAAUUAUUGGGCGGAAAGAGCUUGUAGGCGGUUUGUCGCGUCUGCUGUGAAAAUCCGGGGCUCAACCCCGGACUUGCAGUGGGUACGGGCAGACUAGAGUGUGGUAGGGGAGACUGGAAUUCCUGGUGUAGCGGUGAAAUGCGCAGAUAUCAGGAGGAACACCGAUGGCGAAGGCAGGUCUCUGGGCCACUACUGACGCUGAGAAGCGAAAGCGUGGGGAGCGAACAGG
rnacentral:rRNA from 1 species